GUGCCAUAUUUCAAGAAGAUUGCAUAGUUGCUUCUGAAUCACCUCCUCGUAUCAGAAUCAAGCUCAGGCCAUACUCAAAGGAUACAGGAUAUGAGGAUUCAGAUGUUUGUGUCCAGCUCUCUGUGAGAUGUUUACCAGGUAGGGCCUUAGUGAUAGCCAUAUAUUCAAGAAGACUCAACUUCUUGCAAGUGCUCUAACUGUCUAUCGGUAACUUCUGCUAAUUCUAAUGCUCGAGAAUGGCGCGUGAUGAUUUACAAUUUAGUGGAAGCUGCGCAAGAAUUCUUGUCUGAAGUUCUUCCACAAGAGCAGACUCGUGAAUCUGUAUGAAAAAUAUCUUUCUGAAAUUUCAGUUGCUAGCUCAUUUCCUGAUCAAGUGUUUUGCAAUCAUGCCACAGUGAUAAAUAAUUAGUAAUAUGAGACUUGGGGGAUAGGAACCUUGAAACUCAUGGAUUGUGUCAAGGCAAGAUGUAUGGGCUUUUUCUUUUUUGAUUCUAGACUACAAUUAAUAUUCCUCAAGUGUACUGGACUUUUUUUUUAUUUCGCCUUUGGGAGAGACGCAUGAGGGUCAUGCGUCUCCUUUUAAUGAAACGCAUGAGGGACAUGCGUCUUUUAUAAAGACGCAUGAGGGACAUGCGUCGUUUAAUUUUUAAUUUUUUUUUAUUUUUUUUAAAGAAGCAUAAGCGUCAUGCGUCACAGGAAAAGACGCAUAAGCGACAUGCGUCGCUAUUUUUUUUAAUUUUAUUAGACGACGCAUGAGCAUCAUGCGUCUUAGGGAGAGACGCAUGAGCCUCAUGUGUCUCUAAGUUGCAUAAAUUAGACGAGAGAGGCAGUAGCGGGCAUAACGCGAGAGAAAAGGCCGACGCGAGCAGAAACACAUAGCAGGCGCAAACUCAGCGAUUUCGGCGAUUUCUUGGCGAUUUUCCGUCAUAUUCCGUUAGAUUAGAUGGAGACUUCAAGUUCAAGGGGACAAUUAUUAUAUGGACCUGAAGACCCGUCCAUGCUAUAUCUGUAGAAACAUCACCUUUCAAAUAAAUUAUUGAAAGAUGGCACAACACAAGUUUUCAAAGUCCGCCGGACUGAAAGUAAGAGUUGGGAUGUCGACAUUCAUGAGAAUGUACGGUAUUGGCUUGACGCAUUUGGUUUUAAAGGUGUGAUGGAUUGUGGGAAGUCGAUGAAGGUCGACAAUGAGCUGAUCACGGCUUUGAUUGAGCGUUGGAGGCCGGAGACGCACACUUUCCAUCUACCGAUCGGAGAGGCGACGAUGACCUUGGAAGAUGUGCAAGUCAUUUGGGGCUUGAGAGCGGACGGUCGCGUUUUCACAGGGCGUGACCAUCAUGUCGGAUAUCUUGAUUGGCCAAGCAAGUGCUGAGAUUUGUUGGGAUGGAUACCAGAUACAUUCACAGAAACAAAGCAAGGCGGGUUGCUGAUGACCGCUCUGAUCAACUAGACUAGGAUGCCGCUGGGUGAUGACUUGCCUACAUAUGUAUACAUCCAAAGGGCACGUAUCCAUGCCCUAAUUUUGUUAGGAGGUCUCAUUCUACCUGACACCACGGGGUGUAAGGUACCCUUUAUGUGGGUGAACGCAUUCGUGGAUCCGGACGAGGUGCAGACUAUUAGCUGGGGAAGUGCGGCUUUGUCCUACCUUUAUCAUUAUCUGUGCGAGGCUUCCAUGGAUAAGAGGAAAUAGUUGGGCCGGCCUAUGAUUCUUCUGUAGCUAUGGGCGUGGGAAAGAAUGCCCACAUUGAGGCCGUCGUUCAUAGGAGCACGCGUGCACGAGCCAUAUACGCCAUGUGGCGCCAGGUGGAAAGGAACAACGCACAUAGGAAAUGCUCCUAGAUAAUCGGUUGAGCAUUACCGUGAUCAAAUAUCCUGAUUAGGCCCGACCAGUUUCUGUGGACUCCUUAUGCGCAUUGCAUACUACCUGACUACUGCAGUGAUGCAAAUGGAUGUUCCUUGUGCGACACGUACUUGGUGUGUUGGGCCUAUGUCGAGGCACACAAGGCUGGACGAGUGCGGCGACAGUUUAAUCGGUACCAGGAUAUUCCUCGACCUGUAGACAGGAUGCUCAAAAAUGCCGAUCAUUUGGACAAAAAUGAUCGGCAUGGUAAGAAGGGUAACAAUUGGGAAAAUACGCAUCAGUUCUACAUUGGGGAGUGGGACCUGAGGUAUGAGAGGUUCCAGGCUGCCCAAGAUGCCGCACCGAUGUCCAUGAAUAUUCCUAUGAGCCCGGCGUAUAUGGCGUGGUAUAACAAGAUUACGGUGACGUACCUGACUCAGUCUGGGGCACGGUCAACUGCUGGGAUGAACGAGUCGGCUUCUUCGAUGAGACUAUUUGUUGAGGGUUUUCAGCAGGUUUUCCAUUUAACUACUGAAGAUUAAAUGUCCUCCAAUCUACGAACAACGCUGAUGUCAUGGAGUACCCGGCUUCUCAACAUCAAGAUGUGGUCAUGCCUCAUCAACCAGAAGUAGUUCCACGGCGUCGUGGAGUGCCUGGUGUUCGGAUUGGGGGACACGGUUUCACAAAGCAGUUUAAGAUGUUGCAGCCGCAUCCCGAUUAUGUAGUACCAGAGCCGAUGAAUCCAGAGCAUGACCCACCCCAGUGGUCUUCAUACCCGGCGCAUGAGUCUCAGUCACAGUGGGACCGUCCCCUGUAUUCUCCAAGCUAGCCUGAGCCCGAUUGGAAUCGUCGCCCCUAUUCACAAAGCCAAGAUGUGCCGCAAUGGAGUGGAGCCCGAGCAUCAGUCGAUUCAUUCUUCCAGAAUUAUCAGUUCGUGCCUCCUGUACAAGUUGAAGAAGAAGAUGAUGAUGAAGGAGAAGAAGAAAAUGACGACAGAGAAGAGGGAAAUGAGGAAGAAGACGUUGUUCAGAGCAUUCAUGUCCAACCUCGACCAGCUGCGGAGGGUUCAUCACGCGGCGGGGUUGGGAAGAUCAUGAGCAAAGUGUACAAGAGAUUGUCAUCGAGGAAGAAUAAGGGGAUUGAACCGUCGAAAUACACUCCAUCGUCGUAUAAGUAGCACAUUUUUCAGAUGGCUGCUGUUGCUGCCUUGUGCGUACAGUAUGAAGCUGAUUUUCGGCCAAAUAUGAGCAUUGUGGUGAAAGCUGAUUUUCGGCCAAAUAGAUGGUUACUUUAGGCAUGACAGUGGUAAAAUAUGAGCAUUGAUGACGUGUAUUGUUUCCAUUGUUCAGUAGAAGAAUUAAAUACAAUCAUAUCAAUUUAAUAUGCACAUACUAUUCAAAUGCACGUACUAUUCAAAUAAUGUAGUAAUUUGUUGACUUUAA